CGCAAUGGAUGCAUGUGGAAGCUUCUAGAAUAUUCCGUCUUCGGCGACUGUAUGCCAGCUACGGUUUCUUUUUUUUUUUCAUUUUAUUUGUUAGUUUGACUUCACCAUCACCAGUCGCGCCGAGCGCGGCGAUAACGGUGGCGAGUCAGCUAGCAAGCCAGUGACGUAGUUCGAGAACAGACCAAUGAGGGAAGAAAAGAAACAGGCCGGGCGUAUCAACGCAUGCGCCAAAGUGCUUAGCAUCGUGGUUGUCGUGGGCAUAUCACGAACACCCGGAUGCUUGGGCCGCCAUUUUGCACUUUUCUGUCGACUUCGAUGGGCCUCGUGUCGGCUGCCCUCUGCGUCGUACCGUGCCCCGCGGUCCUGCUGGUCCUAAUUACGCGCUAACGGUGGCAGCGCUUGACGAACUCGGGCCAGACUCUGGAAGAACUAUGGCUUAAUCCCCCCGGGACUGCAAAAUGUGAGGCACGCUUCGAGAGACUUUGUUGCUCCUUCUCGGCAAUUCGUCGCGCUCCUUUCCGAACUCCCGGAAUGUAUGCGACGGCCAGCUGGCAUUUCAGCCCUGGCGGCAUCCCGGUUAAGCCGGCGCAGCGUAUAAGUCGCAAGUCGUGCCUGCCGAGUACUUGUCCUUUUGUUUGUGUGCGUUCCCAUUCGUCGGCGACGCCUGGACCAUGAACUUUGGAGGAGCAACUCCGACCGUGGCUGUUAACGGAGCACCUGCGCAGCAACCCUUCACGGCGAGCGUCGUCACGGCGAGCUUCCAGACGUCGAGCGUCGUCAGCGCUCACGAGCUAAGUCCUAUAGGUGGUCCCCAAGCUGGCGAGGGUGGCGCACGCCUUAGCGAAGUUAACUGUAUAGUUCCACUAGUUAGCGCUCGCUAGUAUUGUAAAGCUACGUUUGAAAAUUAAGUAAAGUUAGUUUUGUUGCUUAACUGUAAGCCCGAGAGUUUCGUGGGCAUGGCUGCGACCACGUGGGUCUCCCCCGUGCCGGAAUCGAAGGGGACGGGCCACCGUGUUCGGGGUGGCGGCGUGUGUAGCUUCAGGCUUAGCUGACACAAGGCUUAGCUCACACUAGGCAGGCUAGCUGAUAGCCGUCCUCUUUUUCGACUGCGGCAGGGACAUGGACCCGUUCCGAAUUGCACUGCGACCCGGCCACUAUUUCGUGCCAAGGUAGCCCGGGCGCGUCAGUGCUAUCGAGCGAAAUGUGGAAUCGGGGGAGCACUCGGAAUUACCUCGCCAGCUUUUAGCUACUAAUCCUGCUUACUGCAGCCCUCGACGCCGGACAUCGCCUUCAGUCGUCAUCGGAGCUCGGCCGGGCAGCAGCGACACAUCGCUCGUACCGCGGCCUACCGUGUUCCCUCGUCGGUGUGGUCUUGCUGGCAGGCGAGACCAGGGUCAUCGCCCUGCACUACUACGGGAUCGCAACGUUUGCUUUUGAUUGCGGCCCACGAGUAGGAACGUGCUGCUCCACGUUUGCCAUCCUCCCAACGUCCUCCCACGGGAGAUGGCCUUGACCACCACUCGAACCGUGGCUGGCCGUGUUGGUUCCAUUGCAUUCUACGACCCAUGGCGUCCUGCUGGCAGACGGGACUUCGUUUGGAGCCCUGGUACUACUGAAUCUUGACCUCUGCUUUCGGUCUGCGGACCACGUGUAUAGGAUGUCCGGUGUGCUGCUCCGCGUCUGCCAUCCUCCCAACGUCCCCAUACAGGAGAUGGCUCUGAGCACCACUUGUACUGUGGCCGACCGCGCUCCAUCGCCGGUGUGCGCUCUUGCUGGCUGACGAGACUGCUCAUCGCCCUGCACCACUAAGCGAUCCCAACGUCUGCUUUCGAUUGCGGCCUACGAGUCGGAAGGACAUCAGUGUGCCGCUCCUUGCCAUCCUCCCAACGUCCCACAGGAGAUGGCCUUGGUCACCACUCGCACCGUGGCAGACCGUGUUCGUUAUAUUGCAUUCCCUCACCAAUGGCGUCCUGCAGGCAGAUGACACUUGCUCCUACUACUGAUGCUCGUUUUCGAUGGCGGUGCACGACGACAAUCCAGACAGUGUUUCCAAAAGAUGGGAUCACAUUGAGCAGCAAUCGUCCCAUGGCUGUCCACCUGAGCACAUCGGCCGACAACUGUGGACAUCGAAGUCUGAGCGUGGCCACAAACCGAGGACCUGCGGAGCAGCCCCUCGUCACAGCGAGCUUCUGUCCGCGCUACGAGCUUAAAUGCUCAGCAAGUAAGAUAGAUGCCAGAUGUUCUCCAAGCUGGCGAGGGUGGCGCACGCUUUUGAGAAGUUAGUUGCGAGUUGAGUGUAGCUGUAUGAAAACAUUGCGCAAGUUUAGUUUAGGUGAUUAACUGUAAGCCCGAAGUUUGUGGGCACUGCUGCGGCCACAUCGGGUCUUCUCCGUGACGGAAUCGAAGAGGACGGACCACACCCGCGGUGGCGGCGGGUGUAGCUUCAGGCUUAGCGAAUUGCGGGUAGGCUUAGCUGGCACCCGGCAGGCUAUAGCUGAUAGCCGUCCUCUUUCGAUUGCGCCAGGGACAUUAACCCGUUCUGCAUGUCCUUGCGACCCGACCCACUAUUUCGUGACGAGGUAGCCCGGGCGCGUCAGUGCUAUCGAGCGAAAUGUGGAUUCGUGGAAGCAAACGACAUCCGGAAUCGCCUCGCCAGCUUUAGCUGCCGCGGCAUCGAACGUCGCCUUGGGUCUCCAGCGGAGCUCGGCCCUGCAGCAGCUAAUGUAAGUGGUCCAUUUCGUUACAAUUGCAGCUGUUCGUUUUUUUGGCGUUUACGCUGCUCCCUUCGUUGCAGAGGAUGACCUUGAGAACCACUCGUAUACCGUCGCCGACCGUGUUCGCUUCUUCGCAUUCCCUCGCCGGUGGUCUUGCUGGUCAACGAUACUUUGUACCUCGCCCGGCACUACUCCUGGCAAGUACCUUGAACACUCGAAUCGUACUAUACCUUUGUUCUUCAGUGUUUAAUAAGUCCCGCGUGUUUUCAGGUUCCGAUCGUCUGCUUUCGAUUGUGGCUAGUCACAAGGAUAUCCUGCGCGCUUCUGCACAGUCAAGUCUCUGUCCUUGAUAGAGACGCAUUUGAGCUCUAUUCGUCCUAUAUGGCCAGCCGUGUUACAUCUGCAUUUUCUCGCCGGUGGCUUCUUGCUGGGAGACCCGAGUGUCGCUCGGCUCCCUGUGCUAGUUCUGGCACGAACCAUGUACACUUAAAUCGCACUACGGAUGUGUUCCCGCGUGGUUUAUCAGCCCUGCGGCAUAUCCGAUUCCGAACGUCUGCUUUUGAAUUAAGCGUUGUUAGAAGAUGGAGCUUUUCCCAAUGACGGCUCUUGUUCGUGUUCUCACUGUUUUCCUUCAUUCUGUUGCUACACCUACCUGGGGACGCAAAUAAACUUUGUGGGCUCCCGAAGAAACUUGCUGUCGGCUGCCUUUAAUGCUGCCUCUAAUGCUGCCUUUAAUGCUGUCGGCUGCCUAAUUCGUUUAUGCUUGGGACAACUUCCUUCGCCAAGCAUAUUUUCCAAAAGGCUCUUAAAUGUCGCUCUCCACGUAAGACAAUGUUACCUUUCUUCAAUUCCUGGUGACAUUUCAGAGCUGCUUUCAUUUCCGGACCUCUAAAUUCUUUCGUGUACUCCGAGGGCCAAAUUUUCCAGGCUUCACGUAGCCUCCACUUUUAUUGAAGGUUGCCUUCCUAUUCCUCACUGAUGUCUCCUGCCAGUUUUGUUUCCGCCAGUCGGGUCCGAAGAAGUUGGAGUAUAGGUUCUCCAGGUUCAUCGUAAGCGCAUGUUGGCGAUUGGUUGUUCACGAUAUCCUCUACUUCGUAUGUUAAGGUAUAUAAUUAUCCAAGCUGCAGUAAACAUCGGCCAAUCGCUCUUCGUUCUUGACUUGAAACUAUGGAUGACCUUUCAUAGAAACUACCCGACCACGGAGCAUCUUCCAGAAGAAAUUUCCACUUGGUAAUUGGUGGCAAAAUCUCUAUUUGUUUCGUGAUGUAAUGUUGUAGCCACCACAUUCAACUCGUUUUCAGUUCAAUUCGUUUUAGUGCCGAAAAGCUUGUACAAAACUGAGGUGAAGCCUCUAUAACAGUUUCCUAUUGUACAGCUCUUGUGACGGCACAUGUAAAAAUCACUACGUUAAGUUUGACAAUGUGACUUUGUUUGAGCUGCUUCCCGUGCACCUGGGAAAUGUAGGCCAGCUAUUUCAAACGUUGCGGUCUUCGUCACCCUAUCGGCAGGAUCAGAAGGCGCUUCCUUACAACGGUCUUUAAUUGCAUCGUCGCCACACAGCGCACUGCCGUGUUACGUCUUUCACUUAUUUUCGUCCUUUGAUUACUCAAAAUGUGGUUUUUAUACGCAUCGGUGUGUCACGCGCUCAACCGUGACAAGUUUGUCUAUAUACGUCUCGAAGGAAUGGUCUCCAGAGAUUUUCACGUAAUGUGAUCGUGUAAUACUUGUCAUAUGGGCCCUACCGAAGACGCGCUUGAACUCUCAAUAGGCCUCUUUUGUCUUCAAACAUUUGGCAUUCGCGUAUUGUCGGCACAUUCACUUGCUUGCUGAAUUUCAAUUCUCGUGUAAUUUCCACAUUUUAGGUCUAGCGAUAUGAGACGAGUUUCGGCGGUAUUUAUUUCGUCUGGAUUUAGUGGACCGUUGACCUUGUCUUCUAACAUUGCUUACACAACGAAACAUUCACGCAGUUGCUCUCCAAAUAUACAAGUGCCGAAUAUGCCACCUUCAACACGUCGUCUUACGAUCAUUUGCGACGUAGACCUAACACGUUACUUGUCGUCUGUCCUUUCAUCAUUAUCCGGCUUUUUGUAAUAUGGCUAUUCUUUGGUUUGCAGCAACUCAGAUUCCUUACGCAAUUUUUGACGAGGAAGUCUGUUCUACGGCGACACUUGUCAGAUCUGCUGUUUUUUUUUUUUCAUUACCGCUGACGCAUCCCCAUUGUUUUCCAUUGAGUAAUCACUUUCUUGGAGCCUGUGUUCAAUGGACGCUUCACGCAUUCAUCUUUCUUUAUCCAAUGGAGCACAAUUGUAGCAGUGAUCCAAAACUUGUUUGUCAAUUUCUCGUUUUGGAUUGUUGAUGCAAAUCCACAUAACAUUGUUGCUCGCAAAUUCUAUAUUUGCGAGACUGACAACGGUCUUCAUUAUAGCUACUCUGUUCUUUGCCAGAAUCAGUGCUGUCUCCGUACUACGUAUUCUGCACUUGCAUACGCCGCCGGCUUGCAUCCCAGAAAAUGUUAGUGCUUAUGUUUUCUUGUUGUCGAUACGCUCUGUAGGCUUUCAGUCUGAUCUAUUUUUAACUUCCUCAAUUCAUUCCUACAUAGAUCACCUGUAAUUGGCUGGAAAAGGGCUGUCCCAAAAUAUUCCGGUUUUUCUGUCAUUGAAUACCGCUAUUAGCUGUGACAGUGAAGGACGUUAGGAAUUACAGCGGACCACAUAUUUUUGCCCAGACUUGGAGUGCUAUGCGUUUCGUGAGCAUUGCACUCAAGCCAUUCCUUCAUAUUUUGAUCUCUGGGCAGUGUCGAAGCUAUCGCAGACGCACAAAUUGAGGACGUUCCCAAAGACCCAUACUGUGCCCGUUACAGUACGCUCGGCUCGAUUUCUACGUCUGGCCCAUUGCCUAUAGAUGUGUUCGAUUCUUCUAUUGCCGAUGCCCUUACACCGGGCCAGCGAUCAUAACUUCUGUGCAUCUUACAAGAAUUUCGUGCUUCUUUCGACGUCGGGCAACCUUCCCUGGGCCGGACGUCAACUGUUACGCACCACAUCGAUACUGGCUCCCAAUCGCCAUGGCGGCAACGCCCAUAUCGUGUAUCGGCUACAGAACGUCACGUGGUUAAUGAACAAGUGGUCGAUAUGCUCCAUCGCGAAGUGAUCCUACCUUCCCGCAGUCCAUGGGCAUCUCCCGUCGUCCUUGUUACGAAGAUGGUUCUGUACGGUUCUGUGUGAACUAUAGGCACCUUAACAAGAUCACUCGUAAGGACGUUUACCCGCUUCCGCGAAUCGACGACACUAUUGACAGUCUACAAGGAGUAUUUUCAUCUCUCGAUCUGCGCUCAGGGUAUUCGCAAGUACCUAUGGCAGAUGACGAUCGACCGAAGACAGCCUUUGUCACGCCCGACGGCUUAUACGAAUUUAACGUCAUGCCGUUUGGACUUUGUAAUGCGCCAGCGACUUCUGAGCGUGUCACGUCUGUGCAGAAGGUUGUGGCUGCCGACGAUUUAUUACAAACAAGGAAACAUGAACAUGUUAAGCGGCAUAGCUUAGGCGUUGGAGUCAACAAGCCAGCGUUCGAUGACAAACUCGCGCUCGUGCCAUCACGUCCCGUGCAUUCACGCGCGCACUUCGUUGUCGUCUUCCUCUAGCGCGACAUGUCAUAGCGCAUGUUGGAUACCGUUCUGCGCGGCUUGAAAUGGUGCACGUGCUUGUGCUACCUUGAUGACGUCGUUGUUUUUGCUCCGGACUUUUCCACGCACCUUCAACGCCUCCGGCAUGUUUUGACGUGCCUGUCAAACGCUGGCCUACAACUCAACUUAAAGAAGUGCCGAUUUGCAGCGCGGCAGCUCACGAUACUGGGUUACGCCGUCUCGAAGGAUGUGGAAUCCUCCGCCAUCCAGCCAAACUUCGUGCCGUCGCCGAAUUACCGAAACCGACGUCUGUCAAAGAACUGGGCAGUUUCGUAGGCUUGUGUUCCUACUUCAGGCGCUUCAUUCGUAAUUUCGCUGCCAUCAUAUCGCCUCUGACGAAGCUCCUUGGAAGCGAUGGACCACUUCAUUCGUAGUCGUCGGAGUGCGAGGAAGCGUUCGCAAAUCUCCGUCGUUUGCUGAAGACUACCCCAAUUUUACGCCACUACGACCCGACGGCCCCUACAGAGGUACACACAGAUGCCACCGGUGUUGGCCUCUGCGCUGUCCUUGCGCAGCGCCUCCCUGGCUUUCCUGAAUAUUCCAGUCUCACCCUUACGAAAGUAGAGGCCAAUUGCACUGUCACGGAAAAAAGAAUGUCUGGCGAUCAUCUGGGCUCCAAGUUCCGGCCUUAUUUGUAUGGCCGCCCAUUUGAUGUCGUCACGGACCACCAUGCAAUAUGGUGGCUGUCAUCUUUGAAGGAUCCUUCAGGUCGUAUUGCCCGCUGGGCACUUCGCCUGCAGGCCUACGAUAUCCGCGUGCUGUACCACAACGGAUGCCAACAUUCUGACGCCGACACCCUCUCACGCUCUCCCUUGCCUGACAAUGCCUGCUGCUCACUAUUUCAGCUCGCUGUUUCUUCAAUCGACCUUGAGACUAUUGCUUCCGAGCAGCGCAAGGACCCGUGGAUUGCCUCGAUUAGACUUGCUUGCUGACCCAUCACCACAGUCAACCACUCGUACGUUGCGUGGUCAGGCUCGCCAUUGCGCGGUUCGCGACAACCUGCUUCACCGACGCAGUCAUACCGCAGACGGCCGCCAGUGGUCGUUAGUAGUACCUCGCAGUCGUCUGCGCUCCGAAAUCAGCGCAUCCUUACACGCCGAUCCACAGUGCGCACACUCGGGAGUUGUCGAAACCUACCAGCACUUUCGACAGCGCUACAACUGGCGAGGAAUGUACAAGUACGUUCAACAGUUCAUUCGCUCCGCCCACACCCAAGCUCUCGCCGGCUGGUCUGCAGCCUCUACCCUGCCCUACCUGACUGUUCGGGCACGUUGGGAUUGAUUUGUAUGGGCCACUUCCCUUGACGUCGGCUGGUAACUGCUGGACGCACUAGCGUCUGUUACCCACAAGAGCCGGGCCCACUAUCGUCUCUUGGCUACAAGCAUAAUAUCGUCGGUCGUGUCCCAGUUCAUUCCUUAAAUACUGGUCUCGCUACGUUAGAAAACCAUCUUCAUGGGCAUGAAAUACUUUCUUCAGUGUUUGAUGUCCAGUUCCUACUGUUCAUUACAGCUCGGCGAAAAUGAUUUUUGCUUCUAUGUACACACAUUUUGCCUGGUUUUCUGCUCAUCCAAGCAUAACGUCAACGCAAAUCGAAUUGCUUCUGCUGUCAUUGAAAACGAAUUGUUUCGAAAAUUUAUUAGUGGUAAUCUACCUGGAUUCAAUUUUUCUCUUGCUUGAAGGUUUCUUUUCUACGUCUCCUCUUGUUGCGACUGAGAUGCUUCGAAAAUUCAUUAUUACAUCUCUAUUCAAAUUUCCUCCUGUCUGAAUGUUUAGAAUGCCUUUUCCACGUCUGCUAUCAGUGCAACCAUUGCAACUCGGUGGUUUCGAAAUUGUCAUUCCGUGUUUGCAUAUCUGAAGUCAAAUUUUCUCUUGCCUGAUGUUUUGCAUUCAGGAUAUUUCUGAUCUUGAGCACGAGGCAUCAAAUACUACGCUUUCCUUGUUGCUAGUAGGUCUUCUCGAAUUGCUUGAUGCAGCAAAUAGUAUUUAACGUGUUCAAACUCUUCCGACAACGCUUGUUGUGCCAUUCCACGCAUGCAAUAUCUUGCAUUACAGUUGUAUACAUUCCUCUCAGUACUGUAUUUGUUACUCUUUACAUGGGAGUCUAUCUUUCCAUCCUUCGCAGCAGUCCUUGCGGAUGAUGUUGUAGGAGGACGUGACGGCGGCUCCUGCCGUUGGCCCUAUACCUUACUUUGACAGAAGGGCGAAGGUGGCGAGCCGAGCGGUGGCUUCGUCGACCAGCGUUAAGGCUAGCUUCUGUAACGACACUGUGCGUGCCGAGCUUGUGCCUCGAGCACGCGCUGCGCCUCGAUUCUCUUCCUUGACAGACUGAGGGCGCCGACCAAAGCGCUCCCCAUUGCGGCGUCGGUGUACGCUACAAUGUAACCAAAUGGUCCAAUUCAUGCAUUGUUUUUUCUGAAGAGUCAUGGCAAUAUUUUCCAAUUUCCACAAAUUUCUGAUUUUGUAAAUUUCGUCAGUUUCUGCGGCGUGAAGAACCGUGAAGGGUUACGUGUUUCGUACUUCUAAUUCUACACCGCAUGGGCCAUGGACAAUCCAGUCGAGAAUGUUUUCCAUUGUAUGUUCGUUUAGUCAUUUACCCGUUUUGUUAUCGGUUCCCAGUAAAAAUCGGAUCCAAGCGUCUCUUGCGUUUUUUAGUUGUCAACCGCAAUCAAUAUUCUCAUCCUUUUCGUAUAUAAUUUGUUGUUAAGUCGACGAAGUCGUCCUUUUGAUAUUACGUCUAUUUCAAUGUCCUUGAUUAGUUACUAAUUCACCAUCUGGAUUUUGUUUUGAUCAAGAUUCUACUACAGUCCUCUCGCUUUAUCUUCGUCCGAAUGCUCCAAGCGUGAGUGUCUGUGCGGUCGAAUCGACAACCUAGCUUUCGUGCCAUACAGGCCCAUGUAUGUUGGCUUUCACAUGAAAUUCUUGCAUCCUCUCCUCUAUUUUAACAUUCUGCCCAUGCUGUGGCCGUGUAUAGUAGAACUGAACGGUAGUCUUGCGAUUUAGGAGAAGCUAUAGUUGCCAUCAGCCAUAUCGCACUAUCCUUUUGCAGCGUAUGACUUUCUCUCGUUGAUUUUCGUUCUGCACAUUUCAUUUUGCUUCGCAACGCUUGCAAACGAUGGUGCAAGAUUUUGCACUAUAUUUUGGUCUCGCGUACCGGGAGAAUAUUUUCUUAUCGAAGCUUCUGCUUCAUGUCCUAUAUUAUUGAUCGCCGGCAGUCUUCAGUGAAGUUGUUUUGGUUCGAGUAGCCGCAUAAUUUUAGGACUGAGCUUUCAAGUCUUGCGCGUGAAGUUUGGUCUAUCAACCCAUUUUCUUUGAGCUUUCUUCACUGUCUUCGGAGUAAUGGAGUCACUCGAUGCACCUCGUUCUUGCAAAAAUGCUUGUUUCGUGACUCUGCACUAGACAUUCCUUUGCUUCUUCCUCAUACAGACUGUUCAAGUCUGCCCGGACUAGCUUGGACUCCUUAUAAAACUAGUAGUCCAUGAAUGGUUCUCGUGGCGUCCUACGCUUCCAAAUUGGCAUCAUCAUUGGAGCGUACAAAUCUACAUUCACUCCGAGCGCUUUCGCUGCAAUCAUGUGAACAUAGACCGUCUGGCAGAAUCCUCGCAAACCUUUGAAGUCAUCAGGAUUUUUGACUGGUUUUUAACUUGAUCAAUGCAUUCAUGGGAGUUUCCUUCAAAUGUUCAUUACGUUAUUCUUCCUUCAAAAGCUAAGCAGCUGUCUAGUAACUAUCGCAGUACUGCAGGCCAUAAAUCAGUGCAGCUGCCUUCCCAUCAAAGGCAAAGUAGUGGAACUUGUGACAAAUUCUGUCGAAGAUGAAUUGCGGUUUCAAACUGUCUCCAAAGUCUUUGCCACAUCAACUUGUUGCCGUCAAACAUUAACAUCUUUAGUUUAGGCAGUUUCACGUAACUGCCAUGAUCCGGGGACCGAUUGACUGACCCUGCCUCACUUUCUGUUGCUGCAUUAUCGCGAGCAUUCGUCGUUAGCCAGCUUAUUUAUACUGGGCUAUCUUUCAAAUUGUAAUUACCUUCAUGCCACAUUCCAUUACUUUCUAAAAUUCGUCGGAGGCUGUUUCCUCGAUGACGAACGUCUCCAUCUGUGCAUUUGUGGCUCGACAACUGUUAUGCCCUUAUUUGACUAACGCUCGUGAUUACAGAACCUACGUCGUCUCCAUCACUCAUUUUUCUUUCUGUCUCUAAUGAGGUUUAUUAUCUCCAUUCUCAGUUUCCCCCACUCGCGAAACCUUUCUAUUCAUGUUCAAAAUACAGGCUUACGUUCACAAAGUAGCGAUGGCUUCUAUUCUCUUUUGCGGCUGCUCUCAGCUCCACGGCGUCCGUUCCCGAUUGCCAAUCGGAUGACAGCUAGUUUUUUUUUUCUUCACUGUUGUCCUUCUCUGGCAAGGGUCGAUUUCGGCCCACAAGGCCACCCACCCAGCUCCUGCACAUUGACUCGCCGGUCUACGCUCCAGAGGAGAUUACUUGGCGCACGAGCACCACCCGUUCCAGGAGCGACUGUCAUCACUUCCACAUUAUCUCGCCGAUGGCGCCCUGCUGGCACACUGGACUGUCCUCCUCUCCCUGCAGUACUACUGGUUCUGAGCUCCUGCUUUUGAUUGCGGCCCCCAAGGACACCCAGCCCGCUCCUGCACAUACUCUCCGGUCUACGCUCCAGAGGAGAUUACUUGGCGCACGAGCACCACCCGUUCCAGGAGCGACUGUCAUCACUUCCACAUUAUCUCGCCGAUGGCGCCCUGCUGGCACACUGGACUGUCCUCCUCUCCCUGCAGUACUACUGGUUCUGAGCUCCUGCUUUUGAUUGCGGCCCCCAAGGACACCCAGCCCGCUCCUGCACAUACUCUCCGGUCUACGCUCCAGAGGAGAUUACUUGGCGCACGAGCACCACCCGUUCCAGGAGCGACUGUCAUCACUUCCACAUUAUCUCGCCGAUGGCGCCCUGCUGGCACACUGGACUGUCCUCCUCUCCCUGCAGUACUACUGGUUCUGAGCUCCUGCUUUUGAUUGCGGCCCCCAAGGACACCCAGCCCGCUCCUGCACAUACUCUCCGGUCUACGCUCCAGAGGAGAUUACUUGGCGCACGAGCACCACCCGUUCCAGGAGCGACUGUCAUCACUUCCACAUUAUCUCGCCGAUGGCGCCCUGCUGGCACACUGGACUGUCCUCCUCUCCCUGCAGUACUACUGGUUCUGAGCUCCUGUUUUCGAUUGCCGCCCACAAGGACACCCAGACCGUUCCAGCACACCGACUCUGCGGUCUACGCUCCAGAGGAGAUUACUUCGAGCACCACUCGGCCUGUGACCAACCAUGUUUGCAUUCCUACAUUCUCUAGCCGAUGGCGUCCCGCUGGUAUACUGGAGCUAUCCUGGAGUCCUUGCACUUGAUUAUGGUUGCGAGGCUGUUAUCGCUUUUGGCGCAAGAGAAUUGUUCCAGCACGCUCAUUUACAAGAACACUCCUGGCCUUACCUCAAUAGCUACAAUCUUCAGCCAGAUCGUACUGCCGCACUCUAUACAGCCCACUUCCUGUGACCUGUGAAGGAGUCAUAAGCCUUCGUCUUGGCUGUGUCCUGCAAUGUGUUGGCGGCGUGUUAAGGCUCUGAAGGACUGCCUAUCGUCGCCGUCCUGCGACUGUACAUAUGUUUUCACUUUUUUACACCCAUAUUAAGUUUCGUAUAGCAAGCGUUUCUGAUUUGAACGACGGUACGCCGCUCAGCGAAUGUACGGCGCUUCUAGCAAUUAAGAUAAUACGAAGCAGAACAGUAAGGUCUGGUGACGUGGACACCACCCAGCUUUUCUGAAGGGUUGUUUGAAGUCUUCAUGAGCUGAUCUGUAAAUGUUUGGUGGCGAGAGUAAUCACAUUCAUUGUGUGUGUGUGUGUGUGUGUGUGUGUGUGUGUGUGUGUGUUACCCGUUUGCGCGCGUUUUGUGCUGUCAAGAACCGAUGUACGACAAAGCUUCACUGCUAUUCGGCGCACUUCGUAUUCAUUAUAUUUCGGUAGCAUUUCCUGUGUCGCCAUUGUAUCCGCAGAACCCGUUGAUGGUUCAUUUUUUUCCGGUUGAAGGCUCUCUGGUUCGGUGGUUCAUUUCUCUGGUUGAAGGCUCUCUGGUUUGGUGGUUCAUUUCUCCGGUUGAAGGCUCUCUGGUUUGGUGGUUUACUAUCAUCCAUGAGCAUCCGCUUUUGGAUUAGAGUAACAACUCGUUUCUUUGGCUUUCGUUCUUGGAUUGAUCUCGGUACUGGUUUCAGCAUUCAGCGAAUUUGUUUAGGCAUCUUUCUCGUAUCGGAAACGAGAGCUUCGUACAGAUUCUCGGCUCUUCCACGUCACUCAUCACGCACUCAAAAGAUCAUCAUGCCACUACAAAAGCACACACUGCCAAUGGGAAAGAGGCGGGUAGUUACUCUCGCCAGCAAAAAUUUACCGAUUAGCUCAUGAUGGUAAUGAGGUUCAUUUUAAAACUGGUUGGUGAUCAAUGUCACCAUGCUCGCUGUUCCUAGUUUUGAUGUCUGAAUCAUUACAUGCUUUUAUGGAUGGGUGUCUGCAUGGAUAUGAGCAUUCUCUAUGAAGUGUGGUGCUCACGCCUUGCGUUGUCUGCGUCACUUAUCGGUCCGUAAAGCUGCGGUUCGUAAGCCAUGUGAACUGUGGAACCUCGCAGAAAUUUGUUGCCGUCGUAGACACAGUCGCCGCUUGUUCACCGCGUAUGUGUCGCAUUGGCGCCGUGGUUUGAUUGGGAUUUGUGUGCAUAAUUAUCAUGCACUGCGCAAGGUCCGUGUGAACCGCCAUGUCGCCCUUGACGCGCAUCUGAUCUCGUUGCCUGCUGACUGUAGACAUUACGCACAGUUUUGUCAUUUCGUGCUUCAAGUAUAUCCGUUUGAGCCAUUGUCAAACGACUGCUUCAAAUGAGCUACAUUUAUUCCCCCUUAUGCGAAAUCAUGUGUAAAUGUCUAGACAAGUGCACGAGCGCGCGCAAUGAAAUCUUCAAAAGAAAAUGUCCGCUUUAGUUGUAUUUUUGUUUAGGCGACUAGUUUACCAGUUUCUCUUGUACUUUUUUUUACUGUACGCUGUGGUAACAUCUUUACAUGGCUCUUCGAAUGCAUUUGAAUGCGUUUGCUUGGUAUUGUGUUUGAAUUU